AAUAGAUACCCGGGUAGUCCACGCCGUAAACGAUGUCGACUUGGAGGUUGUGCCCUUGAGGCGUGGCUUCCGGAGCUAACGCGUUAAGUCGACCGCCUGGGGAGUACGGCCGCAAGGUUAAAACUCAAAUGAAUUGACGGGGGCCCGCACAAGCGGUGGAGCAUGUGGUUUAAUUCGAUGCAACGCGAAGAACCUUACCUACUCUUGACAUCCAGAGAACUUAGCAGAGAUGCUUUGGUGCCUUCGGGAACUCUGAGACAGGUGCUGCAUGGCUGUCGUCAGCUCGUGUUGUGAAAUGUUGGGUUAAGUCCCGCAACGAGCGCAACCCUUAUCCUUUGUUGCCAGCGGUUAGGCCGGGAACUCAAAGGAGACUGCCAGUGAUAAACUGGAGGAAGGUGGGGAUGACGUCAAGUCAUCAUGGCCCUUACGAGUAGGGCUACACACGUGCUACAAUGGCAUAUACAAAAGAGAAGCGACCUCGCGAGAGCAAGCGGACCUCAUAAAGUAUGUCGUAGUCCGGA
rnacentral:rRNA from 1 species